rnacentral:rRNA from 1 species
GACGAACGCUGGCGGCGUGCCUAACACAUGCAAGUCGAACGGAGAUAUGAUUUCGGUUGUAUCUUAGUGGCGAACGGGUGAGUAACGCGUGAGCAACCUGACUCUUAGAGGGGGAUAACACUCGGAAACGGGUGCUAAUACCGCAUAAGACCACGACAUGGCAUCAUGACGAGGUCAAAGGAGCAAUCCGCUGAGAGAGGGGCUCGCGUCCCAUUAGAUAGAUGGCGGGGUAACGGCCCACCAUGUCAACGAUGGGUAGCCGAGCUGAGAGGCUGAUCGGCCACACUGGAACUGAGACACGGUCCAGACUCCUACGGGAGGCAGCAGUGGGGAAUAUUGGGCAAUGGGCGCAAGCCUGACCCAGCAACGCCGCGUGAGGGAAGAAGGCUUUCGGGUUGUAAACCUCUGUCCUUGGUGACGAAAAAAAUGACGGUAGCCAAGGAGGAAGCCCCGGCUAACUACGUGCCAGCCGCCGCGUAA